AAGUUUAUUUUGGAGUAAUAAAUUAAAAAAAAAGGUUCUCCCAGGAUGAGGCUAGCCUGUUGCACUCUGGGCGUGCUGAUGCCUACGAUGUCCCCAGAUGCGGGAUACUCGACUGCAAAAUUUGUGGUACUGGGGGACUGCGUCCGCGCUCUCCCCUG